rnacentral:rRNA from 1 species
UGGGGGAUAUUGCACAAUGGGGGAAACCCUGAUGCAGCGACGCCGCGUGGAGGAAGAAGGUUUUCGGAUUGUAAACUCCUGUCGUUAGGGACGAAUUUUGACGGUACCUAACAAGAAAGCACCGGCUAACUACGUGCCAGCAGCCGCGGUAAAACGUAGGGUGCAAGCGUUGUCCGGAAUUACUGGGUGUAAAGGGAGCGCAGGCGGACCGGCAAGUUGGAAGUGAAAUCUAUGGGCUCAACCCAUAAAUUGCUUUCAAAACUGCUGGCCUUGAGUAGUGCAGAGGUAGGUGGAAUUCCCGGUGUAGCGGUGGAAUGCGUAGAUAUCGGGAGGAACACCAGUGGCGAAGGCGACCUACUAGGCACCAACUGACGCUGAGGCUCGAAAGCAUGGGUAGCAAACA